rnacentral:rRNA from 1 species
AUUGAACGCUGGCGGCAGGCCUAACACAUGCAAGUCGAGCGAGUGGCGGACGGGUGAGUAAUGUAUGGGGAUCUGCCCGAUAGAGGGGGAUAACUACUGGAAACGGUGGCUAAUACCGCGUACCAUAGGAUGAACCCAAAUGGGAUUAGGUAGUAGGUGGGGUAAAGGCUCACCAAGGCGACGAUCUCUAGCUGGUCUGAGAGGAUGACCAGCCACACUGGGACUGAGACACGGCCCAGACUCCUACGGGAGGCAGCAGUGGGGAAUAUUGCGCAAUGGGGGCAAGCCUGACGCAGCCAUGCCGCGUGAAUGAAGAAGGCCUUAGGGUUGUAAAGUACUUUCGGCAGGGAGGCGUUACCCGCAGAAGAAGCACCGGCUAACUCCGUGCCAGCAGCCGCGGUAAUUC